rnacentral:misc_RNA from 1 species
GAUGAAGAACGUAGCGAAAUGCGAUAAGUAAUGUGAAUUGCAGAACUCAGUGAAUCAUCGAAUCUUUGAACGCACAUUGCACCUCUCGGUAUUCCGGGAGGUAUGCCUGUUCGAGCGUCAUUUGUACCCUCAAGCUCUGCUUGGUGUUGGGUGUUUGUUCCGCCUCUGUGUGUGAACUCGCCUCAAAACAAUUGGCAGCCGGCGUACUUGUUUCGGAGCGCAGCACAUUUUGCGAUCCAGAUCAACGUACAGCGGCAUCCAAGAAGCCUUAUUUAACGCUCUUGACCUCGGAUCAGGUAGGGAUACCCGCUGAACUUAAGCAUAUCAAUAAGCGGAGGA